GACGAACGCUGGCGGCGUGCUUAACACAUGCAAGUCGAACGGAAAGGCCCUGCUUUUGUGGGGUGCUCGAUUGGCGAACGGGUGCGUAACACGUGAGUAACCUGCCCUUCACUUUGGUAUAACUUCAGGAAACUGGGGUUAAUCCCAUAUAGGAUCUCACGCUCCAUGGUGGGGGUUGGAAAUUUUAGGCGGUUGGGGUUGGACUCGCGGCUUAUCAGCUUGUUGGUGGGGUAGUGGCUUACCAAGGCUUUGACGGGUGGCCGGCCUGAGAGGGUGACCGGCCACAUUGGGACUACGAGACGGCCCAGACUCCUACGGGAGGCAGCAGUGGGGAAUAUUGCACAAUGGGCGGAAGCCUGAUGCAGCAACGCCGCGUGCGGGAUGACGGCCUUCGGGUUGUAAACCGCUUUCGCCUGUGACGAAGCGUGAGUGACGGUAAUGGGUAAAGAAGCACCGGCUAACUACGUG
rnacentral:rRNA from 1 species